GAGCCGCGCGUGGCGGCGAACCCGAGAGCGGCGGACUCAUAAUCCGUCGGCCGUGGGUUCGAGUCCCACCCGCCUCA
rnacentral:tRNA from 1 species